UACGUAGGAGGCAAGCGUUGUCCGGAAUUACUGGGCGUAAAGCGCGUGUAGGCGGAUGUCUAAGUCUGUGGUGAAAGCGCCUGGCUCAACCGGGCGAGGUCCAUGGAAACUAGGCGUCUAGAGGCCGGUAGAGGGGGGUGGAAUUCCGGGUGUAGUGGUGAAAUGCGUAGAGAUCCGGAGGAACACCUGUGGCGAAGGCGGCCCCCUGGGCCGCGCCUGACGCUGAGACGCGAAAGCGCGGGGAGCGAACGGG
rnacentral:rRNA from 1 species